rnacentral:lncRNA from 1 species
CCGUCCAUCUAUCAAUUCAACAAAUCCAACGGCUCAGCCUCUCCUCCCCGUUCCCAUCACCCCCUCCCUCCCCAAACCCCCAACCCCCCCGGAGACCACGGCUCACCCAAAAAUUACGCCACCUCUCCCCUGCCAACGCGCCGCGCCGCCGUCGCCCCGUCAUCCCUCCCACUACACCUCAACCGCCCCCUCCACCGUGCCGGCCACCCCCUCUUCGAGCAUCCUUUCUACUCCGAUGGCUCAGCAGAGCUCGAGCGUCAUUCGUCACCCACUGCCUACCCCCCACCCCAUGGUGCCACCCUGGUAGAUCGCCAUCACUCACGGUGUCGCCCAAGAAGUUCGUCGGGCUCCUUGCUCCUUCCCCAUCACAUGGGCCUCCUCGCCGGUGAUCUCCUCCCUUCUCACCGUCAAGUAAAGUCGUCGAUCCCCCGCUGCUGCCACACCUUGUCACAUUCCAGUGCAUGCCCUCGCCCAUAUGGCCAGAUCAACUUGUUUGGAUCGCAUCGCUCAAGCUGGGUUGCUCUGUUGGCUUUCGUAAUUACCGUCGUGGCCGCGCCCUUCUGUUUGUUGGUCUCACUCACCAUGGUGGCUUCUUCCUCUGAACUGGACCGUUGGAAUGCCAGGAAUCUUAGUGGCGACAGUGAUCAAAGCCAACUUGACCCUGUCUGGAUUGAGGAUCUCAAGCUCUCUAUUCCUCAGCAGUACGGUCCUCGCAUGUUGGUAAUCAACUCACAGGAUCUAAAAUCAUUGAAAGUUUAUAAUGUGUUUCUGAUGAGUUCGUCCAAACCUCACUUUCUUUUCAUCCAGCAAGUGUUCAAUGGGUGGCAAUUUUCUCAGCUAGCAACAACAGCAGUUGAUGACUGCCAAUGCUCACUUUAUGUUGGUGACUCAAUUCUUAAGUUAUUUCAAAAUAAUUUUAACAGCGCAACAUGUUCUUUAUUGAUCCUGUACCAACCUCAUGAAAUCGAUCGGUCUGAACAUAUGGAUGAUUUAGCCCACACAACAAAUCAAUGCGAUUUGGAAUUUAAUUAUUUGGUUAGUAUUCACUAUUCAGGUGUAUGCAUUAAGUCUCAUGUUAUAUGUAGGUUUAAUAAUAUCCAUUGCUUCUUGAUACAGUACUUGUCAUAUUCCAAAAAGGUGAAAAGAUUGGUGUUAAAGUUAGAAUAUUGCUGCAGCUAG